AUGAAGGUCCCUCUCCCUGUCAGGAGCAAGAGCUUCAAGAAGAGCAGGGGAGCCUCAUGCAGCCUCCCCCUCCUGCUGCUCAUCGGGGCCGUCCAGUUCUUGGUGAUUGGCAAGCCUUUUCCGUCGCUCUUGAUGGAUAGCAGCAGGAGGAGAGCCUUCUUCAAUCUCGCAGAGGAGGAGUUCAUCCCGGAGCCUCAGGUGAGCUGCGACUUCAAUGACACGAGAUCCGACUACUGCGAGAUGGCCGGCGCCAUCCGCGUCCGCGGGAGCACGUCGGAGGUGUUCGUCAUGACCCCUCGCCGCGGCACCACCGCCGGGGACGUCGUCGGCCACAACGCGACGUGGAUCGCCCCCAACGCCACGAGCUGGAAGAUGCAGCCGUACACGCGCAAGGGGGAGGCCCGCAUCAUGAACGGCAUCACGGCGGUGACGGUGCGGCUGGCGGACGCCGACGAGGCCCCCGCGUGCGAGGUGAUGCACGACGUGCCGGCCGUGGUGUACUCCAACGGCGGCUACUGCGGCAACUACUACCACGACUUCAACGACAACAUCAUCCCGCUCUUCAUCACCACGCGCCACCUGGGCGGCGAGGUGCAGCUGCUGGUGAAGCAGAAGCAGGCGUGGUGGUUCCGCAAGUACGGCGAGAUCGUGGACGGGCUGACGCGGCACGAGGCGCUGGAUCUCGACGGCGACGCGCGCGUGCACUGCUACCGGCGGGCCUUCGUGGGGCUGCGCAGCCACAAGGACCUGAGCAUCGACCCGCGCCGCGCGCCCAACAACGUGUCCAUGGUGGACUUCAAGCGCUUCCUCAUGUGGCGCUACGCGCUGCCGCGGGAGCACGCGAUCCGGACAGACGACGAGGUGGUCGGCGGGCGGAGGCCGCGGCUGCUGAUCAUCACGCGGCGGUCGCGGCGGCGGUUCAUGAACCUGGAGGAGAUCGUGGCCGCGGCGGAGGAGCUCGGCUUCGAGGUGACGGCGUCGGACCUGAUGUCGCCGCCCAAGAAGCAGGGCGGCGAGGCGGCGGCGGCCGUGGUGGGCGACGGCGGGCAGGCGCGGAUGGCGGACGCGUCGGCGACGGCGAACGCGUUCGACGUGAUGCUGGCGGUGCACGGGUCCGGGCUGACGAACCUGCUGUUCCUGCCGAUGAACGCGGUGGUGGUCCAGGUGGUGCCGCUGGGGCGGAUGGAGGGCCUGGCCAUGGACGAGUACGGCGUGCCGCCGCGGGACAUGAACAUGCGCUACAUCCAGUACAACAUCACGGCGGAGGAGAGCACGCUGUCGGAGCUCUACCCGCGCGGCCACCCGGUGUUCCUCGACCCCGGCCCCAUCCACAAGCAGAGCUGGUCGCUCGUCAAGGACAUCUACCUCGGCAAGCAGGACGUGCGCCUCGACAUGGCCCGCUUCCGGCCCGUGCUCCAGAAGGCGCUCGACCUCCUCCGGUGA
rnacentral:rRNA from 1 species